AACAGCAGCGGGCGGGCGCUCUGCGGCCACAAAAUGGCGGCGGUGGAAUCAAAGGCAGCAGAGCUGCGCGUGCCAAAUUCCCUCUUCCCUUCUCCUCCCAGCAACCCCCUUCUCGGGGGUCACUGCGGCCGCCCUACAAAAGGCCCAGCCGCAUCGCCAGCAAAGUCAGGGAGAUCCCGGCCCACUAUUCUACGUGUCCAGGAGAUGAAGACAUUAAGACUGGCAGGGACGGGCGCACAACCGCUGUGUAAAAACGACCCGAACAGUGACCGCCCUUUCACCUCAGUACCCCUCAAACAGUAUGCCAAAAGGGAGACGUGCCCCAGCGCCCACCUCGAAUCAACUGCGCUCAUUAGACGCCAUCCUCCGCAAAGAGAGCAGCCCCGGCCGCUCACGAUCUGAGCGGCCAUGAAGAAGCCUCGAUCCGAGAAGGCUUGCCCUCAAAGUGAGCCACUCACCUACCGGACGGGGUCUUUGGCGGCUGAGACCCAGACAGGUCCGUAGUCUGCGACGGAGUCGUCGACCUCCACGCAGACCAGGACUUAACUCGUCUACGCCACUCCACAACUGACGCACUUAGCAGCUCUGGCGCUCCACAAAAUGGAGGGCGCGUCCUACGUCACUUCCGGGGACGCCCCUGGGCCUUGGGUCCACCCCGUUGGACCUAGGGAAGACGGAAGUUUUGGGAGGGCCGGAAAUUUAGGAGGAUGUGGGCCUCUCUGACACUGCGAGUGACCGAACCCUGCUCCCGCGGUGGGUGGGGUCGGGGGCGAGAACUCGUUUGGGCUCGGCCGGCUGGUGCCGGAGUCUGGAGGGACAUCUGUUGACGUCGUUCGCCCCUGCUAAGUCCUUGGCGUUCGGUUCAUCAUCAUCUCUCCCAGAAGAGUCUCCUGAGAAAAGUGGCAACCCUUCUUGUAUCUAAAGUUUUUCUUAGACACCCAGAAGAUUACUAAUUAGGAGAAACUUAGCUUUGCAGAAAUACCUGGCCUUUCCUUAGCUCUUGCUGCUUGCAAUUUAAAUUUGCCCUCAAAGCAGGGAGCUCCUAGAUGUUCGAGUUCUUUUUUCAACCAUGCCACAGCUGUGUGGUUUUGUUGUGGUGAGAAGACUAAGGCACUGAAGUAUUUUUUAAAUGAAAGGAUUUUCACUGAUGAAAUGUUGAAAAUGGGACUGCAGCUAGAAGGCUGUCUUGAAUUGAGGCUGGAAUACAGAUUUCUGCAUGUCCGUCACUCUGGGAGAGUGGCUGGAAGAGGUUUCAAGCUGUUUUUUGUUGUUUUUUUUGAGACAGUCUUGCUCUGUCGCCCAGGCUGGAGUGCAGUGGCGCGAUCUGGGCUCCGCCUCCCGGGUUCACGCCAUUCUUCUGCCUCAGCCUCCCGAGUAGCUGCGACUACAGGCGCCCGCCACCACACCGGCUAAUUUUUUUGUAUUUUUAGU
rnacentral:lncRNA from 10 species